AAUGGGCUGAGCUACUCCUAAAAGGCUGUGGGUAUUUCCAGACUUCUCCCCCCAAUGAAAACUGCAAACAGAAAAGUGCAACAAGAAACUUUGCUACGGAUUAACCAAUGUGCAUUGACCACACGUGGCAAUGUCCAGGAAUGACAGAACCAUCACCUCCCACCACAGCGUCCCCACGGUCCCUCGUCGGCAGGCAGGCGAGUGGUCAAGGAGCGUCCAUUCUGCGUGAGCUGAUGGAUGGGUCUCAGUGGAAGGAUGGUCCUUCCUUCAUGUCAUUCAUGAUCGCUUUGUGAAUUUCCGAUAUGGUAGCAGAGGGUCACAAAUGGGAUUAUCCGGGCGGUGCCUUUUCUGCUAACCGAACACCUUGAAAUGUGAAAGCAAAACUAAGGACCUAAGGGUAAAAGGAGGUUUUAAAGCCCAUUAUGCUCCUCUGAACUAAUCCUCCCUUGGGAAGAAAGUCC
rnacentral:lncRNA from 1 species